UAUUUUGUCCUUAAAUUACUUAACUUGUACUUUUUUUAAUGGGUUAUUGUAAUGGAACUGGUGUGUGAAAGUUUUUAAAGUUUAGAUUUGUCACUAAAAAUAUAGUGACGCCUAGUUACGAUCUGUAUUGUACAUUGUACAUGUACCUUUAUCAUAAUCAAUGUUUGUGGUUUUAAAGAUCGGGUGACAUCCAAAUAUAGUUUGAUUCCUGUUGAUGUGCAGCCUAGAAAAAUGCUCCAAAUCUCAUUCAUCUUGUGACAUCAUCUGUAAAUCAUUAGUGAGCUAACAAGAGACAGUGGUACAUGUACAUCUGUAUGUAUAAUUGCUAAACCAGAGCUGAUCACCUGUUUACAAUAUACCAUAAAAUACCAACAUAUGAGUUGCUAUGUCAGAAGUGGUGUAGCAUUACCAGGAAAAGAAAAGUAACAUGGAGGUAUUUGUGUGCAUGUGCUGAGUUGGAGAAAGUUACAUAACAAUUUCUCUUGUUAGCUCACUAAUGAUUAACAGAUAGAAGAAUGAAAUCUGGAGCAUUUAUUUAGGGUGGAGCUUAGCAGGUCUGAGCAAAUUAUUGUAAAAUAUUUAAAAAUCUAUGAAAUAUAUUUAUAACAAAUUAUGAGUUGUAUGCAGCCCUGCACAUAAACAUAAACCAACUUAUAUUUGGAUGUCACCUGACCCCAUAAGGUUUGCCUCAGUACUGAUGUUUAAAUUAGACUCCUGAUAUACAUGGGUGUACAUAUACAUGUACAGGUCUAUGGCUAUGCACAGUGGUAAACCAGUAAAAAUGAAUGGAAUCCUUGUACAUAUUACAAUUUUGAACAGAUUAAAACAAGUCUGUCAUUAAUUAGUACUUAAAGAUUUGUGUAAUGUACAAUAAAAGCAUCCUUAGUGAUGGUGCCCAUAUAGACUACUGAACUAUUUCUUAAACAACACAUGGAUAAAUAAUAACAUAUUAUGUAAUGCACAUGCAAAUAUGCAUUCAAGAUGUACUUCUAAAAUAAUUUAAAAAAAUGAUUGUUUUUAGUGUCCAAGCUCAGAUAUAUGUAUUAACAUUGUUCUGUCCAGUACAAACCGCUAAUUUCCUAUUUUCUUCUCCAAUUACAGGAUCAAUGUGAGCGAUUAUGUGGCCAUAUAUUUUGAUGCACCUUCAUCUAGCAGCAGGACUACAAAUGGGGUGGUUUUCAUGGCUCUUGUAAAAGCUGUGAUUGAUGAUAAUGUCAAAGUCAAAUUCAUGCGCCGGAACAGCAAUGGUCUGUAUGAAUUUACAGAGGACUGUGAAGCCCAUCAGCCUAAAAAGAUGUAAUACAGAAGAUGACUCUACUAACCAUGACCCCAGCCGACAUAGCUUACCUAGCUUAUAAUUUUUAAGAAUGAGAACUGGACAUGUUGGCAGAUAAAUUUCUUUGAAAUAAGAAGUUGAACACAAUUGUGUUCUAGGACAAAAACCUGUAAAUGCUUACCAUGCUAUUGGUUUCAAAUAUAUGAAUGUCUGGGUAAAUGUUAUAACACAAACCAAACAAGUUCGUGGAAGCCACUGUGCAGAAAUGUAAUUCUUUGCACUAAGAAUAAAUGAUGACAAAGACGCAAGUGAAGGGUAAUGAUACAUUGCUAUGAAUUAACAUAAAUGGUUUCUAUGUGAACAAUUAUUUUAAGUACUUUACUUUCAGUUCAACAUUUUAUCAAAACUUCAAAAGUAAGUUUAAAUUUUGCCUUGUAUAUUGCCUUUGUAGUUGACAAUAUAGUGUGUUAACAUGUGUGAAGUCUCCGAAACACUACUUUGAACUAAUCCUAUACAUGUAUAUGUUCCCUGAAUGUUUCAACUUUGAUAUGAGAAAAGUGGUUUCCCUUGAAAUUACAUACUGGACAAUAUAUUUCAGCCCAGAUCAGCACAGAUUUGAAAUCCUCAUGGAUUCUAUUAAGUGACUUUGCAAUGUUUGCGUACUGAACAAAAAGCUCAUUGUAUUAAGUAAAGAUAAUUUGUAACAUACAUGUACCGUACUGUAUAUUAACAAGUAUUUUUACUCUGUAAACAAAUGUUUUAGGUGUUAUAUUAGUAAUUUAACAUAUCAUUAACAGUUUAAGUUGAAUUUUUCUUAAUAUGUUACCUAAGUAAUGGACAAAAUUUUAUGUUAACAUAAUUGAAGCCUCCAAAACAGGCAAGAUUGUUAACCUGAAGCCUCCGAAACACACACAUAUGAAAUUUUCAACUUCCUCAUUUGAAAUGCGAUUUCUUUGGAAUUUGCAUUGUAGUUAGCCCUCACUGAAUGGUAUUUGUAGAAUAAUUUUUAUUUUGCUCCCCCUCUUGGAAGAUAGGUAAAUUUGACAAAUUAAAUGUCAAAUUCAUAUUUUGUCUUGAAUUUGACAAACGCAUUGAAUUUUUUUAAAGACCAAAUAAGUUUGACCAAAAAAGCUUUAUAAGCCUUCAAGUACAUUAGAAUAGCAAAUGAAAAAUCGCAAUUGAAUUAUGUUUGGAGAACAAAUGUUGUCAUUUAAGUUGAUAGAAUUAAAAUGUUGUUUUUGUUCAAAUUUAUCAUAUUUGUCACAGUUUUUCAUUAUUUGUCCAGGUUUCUCAUGUAGUUUAAGCUCCAGAACCAAAAAAAAUCCAUAAUUUAGUAAAAAUGAUUAUGAAAACAUAUUUUGAAAUUUUGACCCUGUUUGAGAAAAGUUACACCCUUUACCGUGAAAAUGACCAUAUAUAACAUGUAGUCCAAGUGGUACCAUAAUAGUAAUGACCCAUCAGUUCUGAUGCCAAGAAGAUUUAAAAACAGAGCAAACUAGAAAUAUCACUGAAGGUGAUUAAUACCCCUAAUCCAGUAUAUCCAACUCAUGUGAUCAUAAAGAAUGUAACUUGGGUUAAAAAUUAUUUGUGUAUAUGUGUUGUGUGUGUGU
rnacentral:lncRNA from 1 species